GUGGAUGUGUGAAUGGGACUCCAAUUCAAUUUCACAAAGAUCAGUUCAAUGAGGUGCUUUCUCUGUAGGUACUGUAACAUGUCCCUGUUGAGUACUUCAUCACUAGUGUGGAACGAUUACUACCUGGAUAUUAACUAAGGUACUUGUUGACUGUGUCAUUGUUCAUUCAUAAGGGACUAACAGCAACCACGCAGUCUACCAUCUGACUUUACCCCAUCUCACCAUAGCAGAUGGAUGUGAAAACCAGCUCAACAAAAGCUUCAUACAUUAACUAUAUAACACCAUAGUAACACACACCGACUGAGAAGUAAUGAUGAUGCCAUGCUGUUCAUUGUUUAUUCCAUCAUCCAGCCAAAGCCAUGGGGAAUCACUCUUUAACAAGGACUGAGCUCAUCUGCUGCUGUGCCAAACUGCAGUCCACCUCUCUUCUAGCAGCAGCAUCUCAGAUGUGUGAGAUUCUUUGCUGGUUUAUUCAACAGUUUUAUUCAACUACUACCAUUAUGGUAGUUUCUUCUAGUUGACGCUUUAAGGCUCUGUUUUUCCGCCUCUUUUUCCCACUCUUUCGAUCUCGCUAGUUGCAUUCUAUCGAGGGCUGGAUAGGCUCUAUUUACAUCACAGGUGUGCCUCAGCUUAAGCACUUGGUUGGUGUCUUUCUUCAUAGCUAUGUUGUUGAAACCAGGAAGUUCUGUUUUUAUUUGUUAUUUAACCCUUAUUUUAUCAGGUAACUGAAAUCACAUUCUCAUUUACAGCAACAACCUGGGGAAUAGUUACAGGGGGAUGAAUGAGCCAAUUGGAAGCUGGGGAUGAUUAGGUGACUGAUGGUUUGAGGGCCAGAUUGGGAAUAUAGCCAGGACACCGGGGUUAACACCCCUACUCUUAUGAUAAGUGCCAUGGGAUCUUCAGUGACCACAGAGAAUCAGGACCCCGUUUAACAUCCCAUCCGAAAGACUACCCUACACAGGGCAAUUUCUUUUAGACCAGAGGAAAGAGUGCCUCCUACUGGCCCUCCAACAGCAUCUGGUCUCCCAUUCAGGGACCGACCAGGACAAACCCUGCUUAGAUUCAGAAGUAAGCCAGCAAGAGAGGUAUGAGGGCAGCUGAUUGGUUUAUCUGAGCAUGUUGUUGUGACCGUGGGUCAUUCUGGAGAUCCAUCGCUCAUUCUGGUUGGCUUGGUGUGAACAUAAUUGUAUAAACUUUUCAAAGAGCACAGUCUUGUUUUGCUAAAUUGAGCUGUGUUAACACUGACAGCUUUUUACAUUUUUUUGCUCAUUUCUCUCGAGGUGAGAUGUUGUUUCAUCGCCCUGACCUGCAACGAUGUUAAUGCAACCAUGACUAAUUCUGACAGGCACUCAAAAUGGUUUGGUGUUACAUGUGAAAUUUAGUUUUGGUUUCAUGGUCGUGUCCCCACAGAGCUGAGGUACUGAAAUGGGCAAGCCUGUUGAUUUGAUUGACGCAAGAGAAACAACAGCAAAAUUAGGGGAGGAAUUCAAUUGGCUGAAAUUGUUAAGUGUGUGUGUGUGUGUGCGCGCAUAAUAGUAAAUGUGCAAAUGUGAGGGUUUGUAUUGAGGCUCAUUCUCUGUGGGUACAGUAACUGUCUGUUUUCUUCUAGAAGGGCCUUUGAGCAGCGUCUCCUCAGUUUGUGUCUCACCUGACAGACACACAACACACACAUUCAUUCCCUGUCCUUUCCCACCAGCUCCUCUUUAGUAAAUAAGAUUCAUUAUCAUGCCAAAAUGUCAGACCUGUUUGCUUCAAACUAUGCAACAGAAUUCUGCUACUAGAAUAUGGUUGAUUUAUUUCCUCAAUUCUCCUCAACACACUCUCUCUCUCAUUCUCUCUCACUCACUCUCUCUUUCUCUGUCUGUGUGUGCUUGUCUAUGUCUCAAUGGAUCCAGUUGUUUCCCAUAUUUGAGUUCUUUCUACUAACAGAAACAGAAGUGUAUAAUGUAUGUAUGUGUGUACACGAUGUGCAAGCACCCUGAAUUGUUCUUUACUCUGUUGUAAUAAUGAUCAUGUUGAAUGCCUUGGUCUUUAUGUCCUGUAGUUUGAAUUUAACAGAACAAAAAAUGAUAAUCAAGCAAGAAAGUUGUUAUAAAUAUAUAUAUAUAAAUAUAUACAAAUCUAUAUACAUAAAAUAAAGCCAUUGGGAUUUGAAAUA
ensembl:lncRNA